CUAUACCUCCGAGCCUUUUGAGCAGCUAGAAAAUAUUUUGGCCUCAGCCUUUAGCAUCAGGAGGCGUCGCUGCGGUCUGACCAGAUUUUCUGUCUCUUUCUGAGUCAGUGGUGGACGUCUGUGUGUCCUAGGAAGCUGUCCAGUUCACAGGCAUAGCAGUGCUGCUGUGUGACACUGGACGAGGACUUCGGUUAAGAAGCCGCAGAGCGUGUGAUAAAGAGACGGUGGUCCUGGUGACAGUGUGAGCCCCAGCUGUGCUGGCUCUGUACUCACAUGGCCUUUCCGAGUG